rnacentral:rRNA from 1 species
AGAGGAGCUUGCUCUUCUUGGAUGAGUUGCGAACCCNNUUGAGUAACGCGUAGGUAACCUGCCUGGUAGCGGGGGAUAACUAUUGGAAACGAUAGCUAAUACCGCAUAAAAUUGAUUAUUGCAUGAUAAUUAAUUGAAAGAUGCAAUUGCAUCACUACCAGAUGGACCUGCGUUGUAUUAGCUAGUUGGUGAGGUAACGGCUCACCAAGGCGACGAUACAUAGCCGACCUGAGAGGGUGAUCGGCCACACUGGGACUGAGACACGGCCCAGACUCCUACGGGAGGCAGCAGUAGGGAAUCUUCGGCAAUGGGGGGAAUCCUGACCGAGCCACGCCGNGUGAGUGAAGAAGGUUUUCGGAUCGUAAGGCUCUGUUGUAAGAGAAGAACGGGUGUGAGAGUGGAAAGUUCACACUGUGUCNGUAUCUUACCANAAAGGGACGGCUAACUACGUGCCAGCANCCGCGGUAAUACGUAGGUCCCGAGCGUUNUCCGGAUUUAUUGGGCGUAAAGCGAGCGCANGCCGGUUAAGAUAAA